rnacentral:rRNA from 1 species
CCUACGGGGGGCAGCAGUGGGGAAUAUUGCGCAAUGGGCGAAAGCCUGACGCAGCGACGCCGCGUGAGGGAUGAAGGUUCUCGGAUCGUAAACCUCUGUCAGAAGGGAAGAAAUUAUAUCAUGCUAAUCAGUGGUGCAUUGACGGUACCUUCAAAGGAAGCACCGGCUAACUCCGUGCCAGCAGCCGCGGUAAUACGGAGGGUGCGAGCGUUAAUCGGAAUUACUGGGCGUAAAGCGCACGUAGGCGGUAUGACAAGUCAAGGGUGAAACGGCGCGGCUCAACCGUGGAACUGCAUUUGAAACUGGCAGACUGGAGUAUGUGAGAGGGCGGCGGAAUUCCUGGUGUAGGGGUGAAAUGCGUAGAUAUCAGGAGGAACAUCAGUGGCGAAGGCGGCCGCCUGGCACAAAACUGACGCUGAGGUGCGAAAGCGUGGGUAGCAAACAGGAUUAGAUACCCCAGUAGUC